GACGAACGCUGGCGGCGUGCCUAAUACAUGCAAGUAGGCCGCAGUUGCGAACGGGUGAGUAACGCGUAGGUAACUACCUAUUAGAGGGGGAUAACUAUUGGAAACGAUAGCAAAUACCGCAUACUAGUAGAUGGACCUGCGUUGUAUUAGCUAGUAGGUAGGGUAAAGGCCUACCUAGGCAACGAGACAUCGCCUACCUGGGCGGGUGAUAGGCCACACUGGGACUGAGACACGGCCCAUACUCCUACGGGAGGCAGCAGGAGGGAAACUUCGGGAAUGGGGGGAACCCUGAACGAGCAACGCCGCGGGAGUGAAGGAGGUUUUCGGAUCGUAAAGCUCUGUUGUUAAGGAAGCGGUACUUAACCAGAAAGGGACGGCUAACUACGUGCCAGCCGCCGCGGUAAUAC
rnacentral:rRNA from 1 species